AAAAGAUCGAGGGAAAAGAAGAUGCGACCCAGGACGCCCGGUUAAAGGAACUGGAGUGACAGAAAGGAAUGGACCAUCCCUCUUCACCUCCAUUCCGGGAAGCUCUGUCAUAACUCCUCAGUGCUAGGAACCCUAGCGGAGGUGACAGAGACUCCCCCAGGGAUAAAGAGGUCAGCAAAGCUAGAAAGGAAUUUCCCUUCCUGCGAGAUAAUUGGACCAGUCAUGUCUCUCCCUCAGUGCCUCAGCCCCCGCCUCCCCCCGCAUCUGUACAAUGGGGCAGCAUAACUUUGGGAUAUAUGAGAAUGCACAAGACAGAAUUGAGCACAAUGUUCCUGCAGCAUCUCUGGUUCCAGGCUCAGCUGGGAGGGAAGCAGAGAAGAGAUGCCAGUGGCAGCAAAGCGGGAAACCCAAGCAACAACAUGGAGGAAGCAAGAGGACCAUGGGAAGAAAAAGGAAGCUGACCACAUGUCUUUCUUGAAAGACUUUAUUUUUCUGUAGCUGAAACUGUGAGCUUAGAGGGCUUACAGUGUGGUCAAGGAAACAGCUGACAAGAAACAACUAGAGAACAAGGCUGGAGCGCAGAACUUCGAGAUUCAGCUCCAGGUUCCUCCUUCCCUGCGUAACGAAGGUUCCUCCAAGAAUCGGCUGGACCGGUGGCUGCAACUUCCUCACCUCCUGUCAACUAUUAAGAAUUUUUUAAAUAAAAAAGUAGAAAAGUCGUAUACGAAAACAUUCUUGCUGUCUAUUUUACGCCACUUCCAUUUUGCUUUCACCCCGCUAGUACACUGAAACCGCUCUGAACAAGAUUGUCACACCCUAGGUUGCUAAAUAAAAUGGUGACUUCUCAGUCUUUUUCUUCCCAGAACUUUGUGUGGUAUUUGGUACUGUUGGUUUCUUUUCUUACUCAUAUUCAGUUCAUGUUUUUGACCAUUUACCAUGUGCCAGGCCUCUAGGCUCGAGGGUACAUUGGUGCACAAAACAGACAUGUUCCAUGGCUUCACAGGACUGACUUUCUAGUGGCAUUAAAGAUAAAUUUGUCGUUGUUGAAAUUCCUUCCUGGGCUUGCAUGACACGGCUCUCUCCUAGCAUCUUAGCUUUAUGGCCACCUCUGUCAGUCUUCUCUGCUGGAUACUUUUCCUGUACUUAUUCCCUAAAUGAUGAUGGCUCUGCUCUCCCCAGGCUCUGCUCUCAGCCUGUCUAUUCUACAUGCUCUCCUUAAGCCUUUAACACUUGUAUGAGAACUCUAAAAUCUCUAUCUCUAGCUCAGAUCUCAUUCUUGCUCCAGUCUAGCUCCAGACUACUAUCUCUGAUUGCCUCCUGGCAGUCCUUUUGUCCCACAGACACAUCAAACAUGAGGUGUCCAAUAAUUUCUAUCUUUUCCACCAGAGUUCCAUAUUUGGCACCAUCCCUUACUAGUUGGUCAAGUCAGAAGUCAGAGUUAUCUUUGAUUCCUCUCUAUGCUUCAUAGCUGCUCCUCACAUUGGAUUUACAUUCCCAAUCUCCCUCUUGAACCUUUCCAUCAUCAUCCAUUACACCCUUGCAAUUUCAACCCUGUGGUACUGCCAUUAACUGCUAAAGGAGAACAUUAUAGCAUACUGAUGAAGAGCAUGAGCUAUGAACUGGACUCUCUGGGUUUUCUUUAACUUUAUUUGUUUGAGAGAUACGCAGCAUGCGUGGGGGAGGGGCAGAGAGAGAGGGAGAGCCAGAGACUCCCAAGCAGAAUCCCAAGCAGAUUCUGUGCUGCCUGUACAGAGCCCGAUCCCAGGAACCUCAAGAUCAUGACCUGAGCCAGAACGAACUGCUGGACGCCUAACUGGCUGAGCCACCUAGGCGCCCCUGGACUCUCUGGGUUUUAAUCUUAUCUCUACCACUUACUACCUUUGUAAUUCUUGAAUGAGUCACUUCUCUGUGCCUUUGUUUCCUCAUCUUUAAAGUGGGUAUGACAGUACAUUGGGUAGUUGCAAGGACUAAGUGAAUUAAUAUACAUAAAGCACUAAAAUGGAAAGCCCUUAGAAUAAUACCUGUCACACAUUAAAUGUUCAAUAAAUGUUAGCUAUAAUAAUUAUUUUGUACUGACUUUUCAGUCUUUAGUUUCUCUUCAUCUAAUCCUGUAAGUCUGAUCAUGUCACACCCCUGCUGAAAAGAUGCAGAUAGACCCUCAUCACCUUCAAGAUAAAAUUUUAAAAAUCUCUAGUCCUUGUCUACCUCUCCAACCUCUUUGGAAUUGUUUGCUGCU